CCAGACUCCUACGGGAGGCAGCAGUGAGGAAUAUUGGUCAAUGGGCGGGAGCCUGAACCAGCCAAGCCGCGUGAGGGAAGAAGGUACCGCGUAUCGUAAACCUCUUUUGUCAGGGAACAAAGGCGGGGACUAGUCCCCGGAUGAGGGUACCUGAAGAAAAAGCAUCGGCUAACUCCGUGCCAGCAGCCGCGGUAAUACGGAGGAUGCGAGCGUUAUCCGGAUUUAUUGGGUUUAAAGGGUGCGCAGGCGGGCCUGUAAGGUAGGGGGAAAAGGCCGGGGGCCCACCCCCGGCGAGCCGUUGAAACUGGCGGGCUGGAGUUGGAGAGAAGUACGCGGAAUGCGCGGUGUAGCGGUGAAAUGCAUAGAUAUCACGCAGAACUCCGAUUGCGAAGGCAGCAUACCGGCGCGCAACUGACGCUCAUGCACGAAAGCGUGGGUAUCGAACAGGAUUAGAUACCCGAGUAUC
rnacentral:rRNA from 1 species